CGUAUUAACACUGCGGCUGAUGA
rnacentral:miRNA from 1 species